rnacentral:lncRNA from 1 species
CGUUCUCUUUUGUCUCCGCUUUUUUUUCACAUUUCCUUGCGACCCUGGCCCUUGAGCGACAAAAAGGGGAAGCCAAGGCUGGCCCGAGGAACGGAGAGGGCACAUGGCCUAGCCACAAGUGGAGCUUCUGCUCCGCCCGAAGGGAUGCGCUGGAGCGGCCUCUUCCUUCUGCCACGGUCUUUCUUUGCCAACUAGUAGGUGGAGACUGGACCUCAGAAGAGGGAGUGGGUGCCCCGAGAACUCACAGCUAGCGGACAGUGGAAAGGGCAGGAGCCGGACCAAGGUGAGGACAGUGGAACUGAAGGCCGCUGGUUACCUCUCCUGCCCUCCGCUGGCCACAGUGGAGAAGACAGCCCCUCCCUCCUGCUCUGACCUGACAGUGUUCAUCCAUCGCCCUGUAUUAGCGAAGAACAACAUCAAGCUGGCUAGCAAGGAACUGUAUACAGGGUCCAGCUGGGUAUCACACUGGAUCUCACCCAAAGCUUAGAUGUGAUCCAGCUCAGUAUCACAAAGCAGAACGAAAAGGAUGUGUUUGGGCUGAGAGGCCAUACAUUGGUAAGUGGCACAUGAACUGUAUUUUCUAUUGAGCAUUGCUGGUAUAUGGCAAAUUUGCAUAAAAUUAUAUUGAAAUUGA